GCCAGGUAUGGUGGUGCAUGCCUGUAAUCCCAGAUACUUGGGAGGCUGAGGCAGGAGAAUCACUUGAAUCCAGGAGGCGGAGGUUGCAGUGAGCUGAGAUGGUGCCACUGCACUCCAGCCUGGGUGACAGAGUGAGACUCAGUCUCAA
rnacentral:SRP_RNA from 1 species